UACGUAGGCAGCGAGCGUUGUUCGGAAUUACUGGGCGUAAAGCGAGUGUAGGCGGUGCGAUAAGUUCGGUGUGAAAUCUCCCGGCUCAACUGGGAGGGUGCGCCGAAGACUGUCGUGCUUGAGUGUGGGAGAGGUAGGCGGAAUUCCUGGUGUAGCGGUGAAAUGCGUAGAUAUCAGGAGGAACACCUGCGGUGUAGACGGCUUACUGGACCACGACUGACGCUGAUACUCGAAAGUGUGGGGAGCAAACAGG
rnacentral:rRNA from 1 species